UACGUAGGGGGCAAGCGUUGUCCGGAUUUAUUGGGCGUAAAGAGCGUGUAGGCGGUUUGUCGCGUCUGCUGUGAAAUCCCGAGGCUCAACCUCGGGCCUGCAGUGGGUACGGGCAGACUGGAGUGCGGUAGGGGAGAAUGGAAUUCCUGGUGUAGCGGUGAAAUGCGUAGAUAUCCGGAGGAACACCGGUGGCGAAGGCGGCUUCCUGGACCGACACUGACGCUGAGGCGCGAAAGCUAGGGGAGCAAACGGG
rnacentral:rRNA from 1 species